AACGAACGCUGGCGGCAUGCCUAACACAUGCAAGUCGAACGAGCCCUUCGGGGUUAGUGGCGCACGGGUGCGUAACGCGUGGGAAUCUGCCCUUUGCUUCGGAAUAACAGUUAGAAAUGACUGCUAAUACCGGAUGAUGUCUUCGGACCAAAGAUUUAUCGGCAAAGGAUGAGCCCGCGUAGGAUUAGGUAGUUGGUGGGGUAAAGGCCUACCAAGCCGACGAUCCCUAGCUGGUCUGAGAGGAUGAUCAGCCACACUGGGACUGAGACACGGCCCAGACUCCUACGGGAGGCAGCAGUGGGGAAUAUUGGACAAUGGGCGCAAGCCUGAUCCAGCAAUGCCGCGUGAGUGAUGAAGGCCCUCGGGUCGUAAAGCUCUUUUACCCGGGAUGAUAAUGACAGUACCGGGAGAAUAAGCCCCGGCUAACUCCGUGCCAGCCGCCGCAGUAAAAC
rnacentral:rRNA from 1 species